rnacentral:tRNA from 1 species
GGGGCUGUAGUUCAGUGGUAGAAUGCUUGCCUAGAAUGCUUGCGGUACUGGGUUCAACCCUCAGCACCA